UCCUUUUCCUCUCUGGGAGGAGCCACUCCUGGGGUGUAACGCAGUCAGAUCCCCUAGCAGUCCCGCUCUGCCCCCUCCCUUCUGGGGGCCUCAGACUCCAUUCCCUCCCUUAGGAAGCUGACUUGACUAAUAGCACAGGUGAGGCCCACUCCAGGCGUGCCAAGAGGACCCAAGGAGGGAGGGGAAGCUCCCAGACAGCAGUGGCACACCUUUGCCUGUGCUGUCCUCCCAGCCUGGAGCACCAGCCCCCUCUGCUGUCCACAUCCAAGCUUUCUACAAGACUCCGUCCUCCAGGAGACCUCUGGCUGCCUCACCUUCUCAGGCGUCCUCACCAGGGCCCAUGACCCCUUCAUUUCAGACUCGGGCCAUCUUGGAGCUCUCCCCUGCGGUAACAUCUGGAACCAGUUGCCUGGGUUCAAAUCCCAGCUUCAACCCUUACAAGCUGAGCAAGUGACCUAACCUCCUGUGCUUCAGAGUCUUCUCUUGCAAAACAGCUAUAGGCUGUCAGUACCAACAUCAGAACUGUUGCUAGGAACAUGCACUAAAGUGCUAAAACUGUGCCUGCCACAUAGUGAGGGCUCAAUGAACCAUCAUUAUAAGAUUACUAUUUCAGCAAACGUAUCAGUUGCAUUCAAAAACAUGUAGUUAUUGGCCAGGCGCGGUGGCUCACGUCUGUAAUCCUAGCACUUUGGGAGGAUGAGGCGGGCGGAUCCCUUGAGGUCAUGAGUCCGAGACUGGCCUGGCCAACAUGGCAAAACCCCGUCUCUACUAAAAAUACAAAAAUUAGCCCAGCAUGGUGGCGCACACCUGUAAUCCCAGCUACUCAGGAGGCUGAGGCCGGAGAACGGCUCCAACCUGGGAGGUGGAGGUUGCAGUGAGCCGAGAUCAUGCCACUGCACUCCAGCCUGGGCAACAGAGCGAGACUCCAUCUUAAAAAAGAAAAAAUAAAAAAAAGGCGCAGUUUUUGUUAGACAAAUGGCCACUCAACUAAAGGACUACAUUUCCCAGCCUUCUUUGUAGCUGCACAUGGCCAUGUCAUCAAGCACAGGCCAAUGAAUUCAAAUGCGACUUUGAGUAGUCUCCUUAGCCCGUUUCCUGUUUAGAAAAAAAAGUGCAGCUCGUUGCCAGCACUCAUUUAAUUUUAUGUAAACGUGCUAUUUGAGGCUGAAGCAAAUCUGAUUCUGACUGCUGUUUUUUUUUUUUUUCUUUUGAGACAGAGUCUUACUGUGUAGCCCAGGCUGGACUACAGUGGCUUGAUCUCGGCUCACAGCAACCUCCGCCUCCCGAGUUCAAGCAGUUCUCGUGCCUCAGUCUCCUUAGUAGCUGGGAUUACAGGCGUGCACCACAAUGUCCGGCUAAUUUUUUAUAUUUCUUAGUAGAGACG
rnacentral:lncRNA from 10 species